UAAAACGUGCCAUGUGACGGCGGAGAGGUUGGGUGAGAACGACACGUGUAACAUCAUUAUCAAGCAGGUACAAAAGCCUCAAGGCUUAAGAGAGGGGUCAGGGUGAGAAAAAGUCGUAUAAAAGAGAGAGAAAAGGCGACAGAGAUCAGUCGAGUGAGCAUCUCCGACACGGCAACUACUGCAGCGCACUAUUUGUCAUCAACUGCCUUCUUCAUUAUAUUAUCUAUUCGCAAUCAUGGUUUACUAUGGCGUCGUGCUGCUGUUUGGUGUCGUAUUGCUGAUGGCUAGGUCGACCACUGGUGUACCGAUGUCUCCUGGGUAUGGCGAGUAUCAAAGCACAACCUACGCUGCUCCAGCUUACUACACCGAGGCUCCCAAGUACUACACUACCAAGGCACC